rnacentral:rRNA from 1 species
CCUUCGCGGGGGUCUCUUUGUUAACUCGAAGAGGCUCGCGUCCCUUUACACACCCUUUGUAUGUCUUAAGAAUGUCUACUCGAUGUAAUAAAACGCAUCUAAUACAACUUUCAACAACGGAUCUCUUGGCUCUCGCAUCGAUGAAGAACGCAGCGAAAUGCGAUAAGUAAUGUGAAUUGCAGAAUUCAGUGAAUCAUCGAAUCUUUGAACGCACCUUGCGCCCUUUGGUAUUCCGAAGGGCACACCUGUUUGAGUGUCGUGAAAUUCUCAACCCUCUUCACUUUUGUGAACGUAGUGGAUUGGACUUGGAGGCUUUGCCGGGCUUCACCGCUCGGCUCCUCUCAAAUGCAUUAGUGCGUCUUGUUGCGACGUGCGCCUCGGUGUGAUAAUUAUCUACGCUGUGGUGUGCUUGCUUCUGUGGAGACGCGCUUUCUAACCGUCCGAAAGGACAGCUUUCAUCGAACUUUGACCUCAAAUCAGGUGGGACUACCCGCUGAACU